UAAGCCCCUUCCAUUCUAGGACAUAGUAACUUUAUUAAUAAUAACUAACUCAAUAAUUCAAAUAUCCAUCAUUGGGAGAACAGACAAGUAGCUUAUGAUAUAGUCAUACUAUAGAAACCACUCAAAAAUAAAAAAUAAUGAACUAUUGAUACAGGCAAUAUUGAUAAAUCUCAAAAAUGUUAUGUUGAACAAAAUAAGCUAAACAUGAAAUAGUGCAUACACUUUGCUUUCAUUUAUAUGAAGUUCACAAAAAGACAAAAGUUAUAUCCAGAGAUAGAAAGCAGACAGUGGUUUCUUGUGGUAGGUGGGUAUUGACCAGAAGGCAGAAGUGAUGAAAACGUUUUUGCAGCUGUACACAUUUGUCAAAACUCAUCAAAUUGUAUGCCUCAGAUCUGUGCAUUUCUUUAUAAGUAAUUUUAGCUCAACAAAAUCAACGAGAAGCAUACUUAGCAACUCUUUUGUAAUUAUUCAUUAGCACAAAUAACCAGGAUUGACCUCAGAUGUUUUUGGAAUCUGAGAUGUCAAUCACAAGCCAAGAACAUUUCUAAACACAUCAAUUUGAAAAGAAGGAAACAAAUUGUCUUGGAAGCUAUUUUGUGCCCUUAGAAACUCUUGAAUUCCAUGAGAGUGCGUUUUUCUAGAUGAGGUCACGGGCAUUUUCAGAGUCAUCAUAAAUUAGCCCGAGUGUCUGAAGAGGUCACGCGGGGACAAGGGGAAGUUCCAGAACUUCUUAUUCUCACAGACUUUCCCUUCAUAAAGAAUCUUUCCUGGAAUUUAGGAACAUGACACCUCCAGGUCUGUAGCUCAGUAACCACUAAAGAGCUUGGCUAUAAUCCUUUUCCCUGAAAGGCCUUGCCGGGAAGUGCCGAACAUCACCUGAAGGCAGCAGGAGGUAGAAGAGUGUGUGGAAAGGAGUUCUGUAUGCAGCUGAAGGGUAACACCCCUUGGGAGCUUUUGCCUUGUCUGGCUGACGCCUUGGCAAUCGCAAGUGACAGUGAUGGAGAGCCACCUCCUCUGGAAUGCAUCAUGGAACAGAAAGGGAAAAGCCAGGCAUUUGUAGUCCUCCUGCCACAGAUGACCAGAAUGACCUCACCCAGGACAAACGGCGACAGAUUUAGGAAUUCAAGCCAGAUUUUCUGACUCCCAGGCACCUGCUCUCUCCUUUCGAGUGUUCGACUCCACUCUCAGUCACUCGUCACUCCUCCCAGAAGGACAAAUGUGCAGCUUCUAUGUCUUGGAUUUCAAAUAAAAGACGAGGAACUUGGUGAAAUGAGGUGGUCUUUGCCUUCCGCGUCACUCUCUGCUCCUCCUGGCAAGAGGCCCCAUUUUUCUUGCCACUGAGGUUAAGUGAAAACGAAACAAAACAAACAAACAAAAAAGAGGCCCCGUUCACAGUAAAGAUAAACAGCAGCCUGGGC